GUUUAGAGGAAAACAAGCCUAAGGCGGGCGGGACCGGCCGACUACCUGACUGGAGGACAAUAGCCUUUAACGGAGCACAAAAGGAGUUUCCCCUCAUUUUUUUUUUUUUUUUAUAUUGAAAUACUGCUGACAGAGGCUUUAGGUGAAAUCAUCCUAACUGAGGAAAUGGAUACAGAGAGGCCACCUGGCCCUGAAAUCACCCUCCCAAUCAGUGGUCAGCCAAACUCUCGUGCUUCCAGUCUGUUUUGUGGCCAGGAUAUCCAGUACCAAAGCCUGGCCUGAGCUUCCCAGUGGAGCACAGAGAAGAGCCAUGGGUGAAGGGACUGCAUAAUUUGAAAGAAACAAAGAUUUGGCUUCAAGAUGAGGUUUUAAGAUCAGGAGAGAAGAUGAAGCUUCUUCAAAGCAGAAAGAAAACUGGAAACUCUACAUCCAAUCACUGUGACUUCAGAGGGGAAUGCUCUCUAAGGGUCUACUUUACAAAAAAGACUAUAAACCUUUAGAAAGCCCAUGUGGAAAUCCCAAGACUCAACAGAACUUACCGAGCAUCCAACCCCUCUCUAGGAAGAAAACCCUGAGAACUCCAACCUGGAAGAACCUCUCCACAUCAGAUUCCCUGGGCACCAUGGGACUCAUUCAGGAAAAGAACCUCACCAGUGCCCCCACUGUGGGCAAAGCUCCCUUCUUUGACCUUUAUGAACACUAACAUCUCCCAACAGGGGAGGGACCCCAUGAAUGUACUGCAUUUUAUGGAAAGCAAUGUGAACGUGUGUUUUAAGAAUCUUAAAAUUUUGGGGCACCUGGGUGGCUCAGUCGGUUAA